GCUGAGGUGGCGGAGUAGUCAAUCGCACCUGGCUGUAGACCAGGCGCCCGCAAGGGCUACGGGAGUGCAAAUCUCUCCCUCAGCACCA
rnacentral:tRNA from 2 species